AUCCUGGUGUAUACUCCAUAGUGAUUUGGACGUGCGCAUCCCAUUCCCCAGCUGACCAAACCAGCCAGAAACCACCUGCCACUGGGUUCCUUGCAGGCCAGCGGACCUCCAGAAUCACCCUAGAGAAAGGGAAAGAAAAAUGGGGCGAUGGUGAUCCACCAGCUUCUUGUGCUGGAUGAUUGCACUAUCUUGGAGUCCCUCUAUAUCCAGAUUCCUGUAUCCCAACUCAUGCCUGGGACAUCUGCAACAUCCCUUGUACCUUAGACAGAUGUCAAAAACAGUCUCCAGUGCAAACAUCUGACCUGUUGUUGCAUUCCUUCAUCAUACAAGCUCCUUCCCCUUAGCCAACUCUCAAGAAGUUGAGAGCUCCAUUGUUUCCUUCUGGUCUGUGUGGCAUUUCCAAAUAUAUGUGGAGAGCAAGGAAGCUGGUGGGAUUUAACUGGAUACCCAAAGGCCAUGAAGCGUAUUUGGGAGACUUGGGACACACCCCAUCUCCAGUAGUCAGCCUUGAUCCCACAACUCCUCUGUUACCUGGCAGGCAUCUUUCUUGCCCUUGUGGUACCCAGCACACAGCAUCCUGGGAGAAAUCAUGUAAUGAUAGGCUUCACUGCAGAUAUCCUGCUGGAUGAGCUGCACGUCCACCUUCUGCAGAACGUUGCUGAUGUGCCCUGAGUGGUAGAGCACCGAAAGCAGUGCAGUAAGCCACGAGCAAAGACCUUGCACCUACCGCCUUCCUUAAGGGCUCCCCAGCCAGUGAUCCAGCAAUGAAGGCCAGGCUCAAAGAGGUUCUGUAGGACUGCAUCCUGUCUGCUGAGAUCACUGUUCCUCCUGCCUUGAUGUCACCCUCAGUUCAUGUGUCACCUUCAUCAACAGAGCAGCUGCUCCCCUUGGUCUCUGAUAGGGAUGUUUGAAAACACGGAGAAACAAAUACAUUUUGUUCCGUCUUUGUGUUAACCUGUGGAACUGAAUGACACAAGAUAUCCCUGGGGCCAAGAAACUAACAGGAUUCAAGAUAAUAUUAAAUAUUCUUCAGGAUGCACAUGUAUCCAUGAGGGAAGCAAGCAAGCCCUGAUGUCAGGCAGCUGGAUGAUGGGACAGAGUGCACCAUCAGCAAGACUGCAGACAAUACAAAACCCAGCCUCAGCGAUCCUGUGAGAGCUCUCACAUUUCCAGCACUGAAUUAAGACUUCCUUGAGAAAGAUUUCUCCUUCCUUUUACUUUAGACUUUUCUAUAUCUUCCUCUGAAUAUUUCAGAAUUGGCCACACUCUCCAGUGGUUUGGGGAUCUUUCUGUCUAUGAAUAAACAGCUGUAGAGGACAACUAAUGAAAAAUUAGUGGUGGAAGCAACGUGAUGAGCUUCCUUCCCCCCUCCCCCCUCACCACCUCCCCCACCAGGGAUGGGAAAACAGAUUAAUUAGGUGUCAUGCCAAAGCCUGAGUAGCUCUUCCUAUGAGAAUGGGGCAUUGCAGGAGUCCUGGGAUGCUGAGGAUGGUGUCUGCAUCAGCAUGAACUGCCGUUGGCAUGAAGAACUGAUGGCUGAUGGAAGACUUAGAUGCUCCCAAACUGAAGCACAAUAUAUGGGUGAGGAACAGUACAGAUCAGGUGUCACA